rnacentral:rRNA from 1 species
UACAGAGGGGGCAAGCGUUAUUCGGAAUUAUUGGGCGUAAAGGGCGCGUAGGCGGCCAUUCAAGUGACGGGUGAAAGCCCUCGGCUUAACCGAGGAACUGCCUGUCAGACUGGAUGGCUUGAGACCGGGAGAGGUGAGUGGAAUUCCCAGUGUAGCGGUGAAAUGCGUAGAUAUUGGGAGGAACACCAGUGGCGAAGGCGGCUCACUGGACCGGAACUGACGCUGAGGCGCGAAAGCGUGGGAGCAAACAGGGAUUAAGAAACCC